AGCGCGCGCGAUUUUCUAACAAAUAAACAAGAGAUAAAACAGACAGAGAGAGAAGAAAGAAGAGAGAGAGAGAAACUGGACCGAGAACAGAAGAGGAGAGUUUUGCACAUGGCCGGGAUUAUUUACUCCCUGACUUCAGUUUUAUUUGGGAUUUCCGCCGGUAUCAGCACCCUGCAACGGACUUACCCUGCAAACGAAGUUACAUUGCUGGAUUCAAGAUCCGUGCAGGGAGAACUGGCAUGGGUGGCGAGUCCGACGGAAGGAGGGUGGGAGGAGGUGAGCAUCAUGGACGAGAAGAACGUCCCGAUCCGGACGUACCAGGUGUGUAACGUGCUGGAGUCGAGUCAGAACAACUGGUUGCGCACGCACUGGAUCGAGCGCGGCCCGGCUCAGCGCAUCUACAUAGAGAUCAAGUUCACUUUGCGCGACUGCAACAGUCUACCCGGCGUCACGGGCGCAUGCAAGGAGACCUUUAACCUGUACUACCUGGAGUCAGAAUCAGGUGGAGAACAUGGCGUACCGGAGCGGCGCUUUGCUAAGAUCGACACCGUGGCGGCGGACGAGAGCUUCACGCAGGUGGACGUGGGGGACCGGGUCAUGAAGCUCAACACGGAGGUGCGCACUGUGGGCGCGCUCAGCCGCAGGGGCUUCUAUUUGGCCUUCCAGGAUGUGGGUGCAUGCGUGGCGCUUGUCUCCGUGCGAGUGUUCUAUAAGAGAUGUCCGCUGGUCAUCAGGAACCUGGCAAGCUUCCCCGAUACGGUAGCGGGUGCAGACGCUUCAGCGCUGGUGGAGGUGCGUGGGGCAUGUGUGGAGCACACAGAGGAGCGACAAGAGCCCAAAAUGUACUGCGGUGCCGAUGGGGAAUGGCUGGUGCCCAUCGGGACAUGUCUGUGUCAGCCUGGAUAUGAGGAGCGUGGUGGACAAUGUCAAGUCUGUAAGGUGGGAUAUUACCGGUCUUUGGCUACAGAUGGAUCCUGCACUAAGUGUCCUCCACACAGUUACUCCAUGAGGGAAGGCUCCACCGCAUGUGAGUGUGAUAAAGGCUACUACAGAGCAGAGACUGACUCCCCGGCCAUGGCCUGCACACGUCCUCCCUCGGCUCCUCAGCAUCUGAUCUCCAGUGUAAACGAGACGUCGGUUUUGUUGGAGUGGAGCUCUCCACUGUCCACUGGUGGCCGCCGCGACCUCACCUAUAGCGUGGUGUGUGAACGGUGUGUGUGGACGUCGACACGGUGCAUGCCAUGCGGUGACGGCGUGCGCUACUCUCCCCAGAGACUUAAUCUCAACGGCACUCGGUUGUCAGUGCACCAACUGCAGGCUCACACAAACUACACCUUCCACAUCUGGGCUGUGAACGGAGUGUCCAAACACAACCCGAAACCCGAGCAGGCGGCCUCCAUCACGCUUACAACCAACCAGGCUGCUCCGUCAACAGUGAUGUCCGUGCAGAGUAAGGACGUCACCCGCGACACUCUUACACUCUUCUGGCAGGAGCCUGAGAAACCCAAUGGAGUCAUACUGGAGUAUGAGGUCAAAUACUACGAAAAGGAGCAGAAUGAGAGAAGUUAUCGUAUUGUAAAGACCACGUCUCGAAACGUUAACAUAAAGGACCUGACACCAUUGACCUCCUAUGUGUUUCAUGUGCGCGCCCGCACUGCAGCCGGUUACGGAGAUUUUAGCGCGCCACUGGAUGUCAUGACUAACUCAGUUCCGUCUCCUGUGGUGGGAGAAGGCAUGAACCCCACCAUCCUUCUGGUGUGUGCUUGUAGCAGCGUUGUUCUGCUCCUCAUCCUUGCCUGUGCCUUCCUCAUCAGAAAGAGAAGGGCCAAAUACAGCAAAGCCAAGCAAGAUGAAGAGAAACACCAACCAGGAGUGAGGGUGUAUGUGGAUCCGUUUACUUACGAGGACCCGAACCAAGCCAUCCGAGAGUUCGCCAAGGAGAUUGAUGCCUCCUGCAUCAAGAUCGAGAAAGUCAUCGGCAUCGGUGAAUUCGGUGAGGUUUGCUGUGGUCGUCUGAAGUUCCCUACGAAGCGUGAGGUGUGUGUGGCAAUUAAGACUCUAAAGGCUGGGUUUACCGAGCAGCAGAGGCGGGACUUCCUGAGCGAGGCGAGCAUCAUGGGCCAAUUUGAUCAUCCCAAUAUUAUCCAUCUGGAGGGCGUGGUCACCCUGUGUAAGCCGAUUAUGAUCAUCACUGAAUACAUGGAGAACGGCUCCCUGGACGUGUUUCUCAGAAAGAACGAUGGGCGUUUCACAGUUAUUCAGCUGGUUGGUAUCCUGCGUGGCAUCGCUUCAGGGAUGAAAUAUUUAUCAGACAUGAGUUAUGUCCACAGAGACCUGGCAGCACGAAACAUCCUUGUCAACAGUAACCUGGUGUGCAAAGUGUCUGAUUUCGGCAUGUCCAGAGUGCUCGAGGACAAACCUGAAGGAGCUUAUACAACACGGGGAGGAAAGAUUCCGAUUCGCUGGACAGCCCCAGAAGCCAUCGCGUACAGGAAGUUCACGUCAGCCAGUGACGUGUGGAGUUAUGGCAUCGUCAUGUGGGAGGUGAUGUCAUAUGGAGAGCGGCCUUACUGGGACAUGAGUAACCAGGAUGUUAUAAAGGCAAUAGAGGAAGGGUACAGGUUACCAGCACCGAUGGAGUGUCCUGUAGCACUGCAUCAGCUCAUGUUGGAGUGCUGGCAGAGAGAGCGUAACGAGCGGCCCAAAUUCAGCCAGAUCGUCAACAUGCUGGACAAACUGAUCCGCAACCCGAACACGCUCAAGAGGAUGGGAGGAGAGACGAGCAAGUCACACACACAAAAGUCCCACCCAUCGGCACUAAACCACACCCCUUCCAUUGAGCCAUCUCCUUCAUUCAGUUCAGCAGACGAGUGGCUGCAAGUUAUCGGGCUGGAGAAGUAUAGAGAAAACUUUACUAAGGCUGGACACAGCAGCCUGGAAAGUAUAAUUCAUAUGAAUCAAGAAGAUUUGGCCAAAAUCGGAAUCUCCUCAAGUGCACAUCAGAAGAAAAUUCUGAGCAGUCUUCAGGAAAUCAUGUCCGGAAUACAGCAAGUAGAAGAGAUAAAGCUUCCUGUCUGAUCUGUGACUGCGCAACUAACCCAGCAUGAAUGGCAAAAUGGAACCGAGACGGAUAUAAUAUUUUAACUACUCACGCACUUUAAUUGUAUUCGGACAGUAGAAGACAGUGGAAUAGCUGCACUUUUGAUGGACUAGCCUUCAUCUCAUGGUCUUCCUGACUGAGGAUUUCUAAGAGGAAACACUAAAAACUGUUGAUCCUCUGCAAAAUAAUACUGAUCACUAGAUUCAGGAUUUCGUAUCGGAGUCCACUUUUAAACAGACUGUUUAAGUGACACUUGAAUGAGCAGUGAGAAUAUUUUUUGCUGUUUUUUUUUUUUUUGUUUGUCUUUUUUGAUGGAAGGGAAACAACUGUCCCCUUCAGGUCAUUUUUUGACCAGCGAUCUUCUUGAUGACAACUUUUCUUGGUCCUCAUAAUACAGUUUUUGUUUUUUUUUUCAACUCAGAUAUGUAUUUCAGGAACUGUUCAAUUCAAGUUGCCUGUGACUUUUGAUCUUUGGUGGGAAAAAAAAAAUUACUAUCUAAAUGGAACAAAGGUCCAAAGUUCAGAAACAUUUCAAUGAGGACUAGGAGCAGAUAUGCAGUGUACAGUGAACAUGUGAACCCAGCAUCAUGUCUUUAAUGAGGAUUCCUUCUGCCUGAAUAUAGAGAGACUGCAACGAGACUUCCUGAGAAACUCAUCAUUGUGUUACAUCAAUCAACCAUGUAUGUCUGUGUAGAAUAUGACAUUGGUUUGCCAAACAUAUCUUAAAGUCAACCCUUAAAGAGGGGAUGCUAAAUAAAUGUGUGUCAUCGGGUUGACCUUCAUUACACGUUUGCUACUCUUUGUUAGUGCUCCUCCAGAAGCUAAUGACAUUAUGCAUAGCAGGGAUCAAAACAAAGAGUAAUACAAAGUCCAUAUUUUAAACUCAAAAACAUGUAGAAAAAGAGCAAAAAUGUUUGUUACGCUCAGGCCAGGAAGUAGGAAAAAAAUAUACUGUAUAAGGAGAAGAAAUAAAAAUAUAAAUUAUGUGGUUUCAUCAAUUUGGAAUUACAAAAAUACAAUAUGGAAAUUUUAUUAAGGCUAUAUUCUAAGCUUGUAUUUUUUCACAUUUGGAGACAAGACAAAAAAAAAUAUCUAUUGAUGCCUAUGAUAUCUGGAAGUUAGUCAAACCAUAUUGCAACUGAUUGUAAUUAGGAUAUUUUCCUAUUGUUAAAUAUUUAUAAGAGAUGGGGAAAAAUCUACUUAGUUACAUAUUGCUAUGUUUUUGUGUAUGCCAAUUCAUGUAUCAUCACACUGCUUAAAUGUUUUUAUUAUUAUUAUUAUUAAUUUAUAUGCGGUGGUAAAAUAGUGCCAUUUCUCUAAUCCUACACAGUAAACACAUUUAUAAGCUUGUUUAGAGUUGUAACAAUAACUAAUAUAAAAUCGAGGCAUUUACAGUACAAAGUCUUGAUACUUAUAGAGUCACAAUACAAUACAAUCAAGUUGCCAUCUCGGUAUCGUGAUAAUAUUGUAAUGACUGGUCCCUGGUGAUUCCCCUCCUUAUUACAGUAUUUCAAUACUAAACCACAACAGGCUACUACAGGACAAUAAUCAAUAAUGAGUUAGUGUGAUGCAUUACACUCUGAAAUGUAAUGCUCUGAAACUAUUUUAUUUUAAGUGCUGUUUUGUGGUGAAUUAUGCUGACAUCCAAACUUCCUGACUCUUUUUAACUAAAACAAAACCUCACAAUAUUCAUGCUUAUUUUGUCUUUUGUUGAUUACAAUAUUUUUAAUCAGUUUAGCAUAUUAUAUAGAUCAUUCAUCAUACAAGUCCCUGUGCAUGAGCUGCUAUUAUAUAACUGAUGAAAAAAAUAUUGAUGUACAGUAAACAUGUGAUUUGCUUCACAGCUGUAAUUUGCAGAAUAAUCAGAGCUGCUCUUAUAGAAAAAUACUCAACACUCUAACACCCGAUCAGAUUCACGCAUAUCAAGUCUGGGAUUUCAGAAUAUUCAUUUUUCAUCUGUAAAAAAUACAUUGAUGCUUUUUGAAUGCAAGUAACUGAGGUAAUAAUGACAUUACAUAAACACAUAUCCCUGACAGUUACACUGUAAUAAUCUACUGGAUAAUACUACAAGAGCUCCAGAAAUGUACCGUAUACUCCAUAAUUGAGACAGACAGACAGAGACACAAACACAUAAAAAUCAUUUUAAAAGCCAAGACUGUCCAAAUAUGUUUGGAAAACAGUCUUUAAUCAUGUCAGCCAUCUCACCAAGCAUAAAAUCAUAAACCUUGGUUUCACAGACCAGGCCCCAGACUCCUAGACAUGGACUGUUGUUUUUUACAUCUGUGUCGUUCCUUCAUCUCUAUCCAAGAAGCCAACUCGCAUUUUGGGGACAUUUCACAGAUUAAUGUCCAUGCCGCCAUACUAAACCUGUUACACAGUGCAUUUUUUUUAUGUGUACAUAAAUUGUUAUAUUGUUUCACUAUAAUAUAAACAUAGCCAUUAAUGCCCUUAUUAAAUUUAUUUUAACCAUAUGCAAAUAAUAAAAUAAAAUCAUGAUCGAAAUGUUCUACAUGAUGUGACAUUUGUAUUAUA